UACGAGUGCCCCAAGCGUUAUCCGGAAUUAUUGGGCGUAAAGGGUGUGUAGGUGGUUUUAUUAGUCUUCUGUUAAAUUCUUCGGCUCAACCGGGGAGAGUCGUCGGGGACCGCACCGCUUGAGGGCGGUAGGGGCUGGUGGAAUGCCUGGUGUAGUGGUGAAAUGCGUAGAGAUCAGGCAGAACACCUGGGGCGAAGGCGGCCAGCUGGGCCGUCCCUGACGCUGAGGCGCGAAGGCGUGGGGAGCGAACGGG
rnacentral:rRNA from 1 species